rnacentral:rRNA from 1 species
AACAAACGCUGGCGGCGUGCCUAACACACGCAAGUCGUACGAGAAAGGGUCCUUCGGGGCCUGAGUAAAGUGGCGCACGGGUGAGUAACGCGUGGAUAAUCUGCCCUUCAGUUGGGAAUAACACAUCGAAAGGUGGGCUAAUACCGAAUAAUGCUGUGAGACCUCGGUUGAUCAGCCAAAGAGAGCCUCUGCUUGCAAGCCCUCGCUGAAGGAUGAGUCCGCGUACCAUUAGCUAGUUGGUAGGGUAAUGGCCUACCAAGGCGACGAUGGUUAGCUGGUCUGAGAGGAUGAUCAGCCACACUGGAACUGAGACACGGUCCAGACUCCUACGGGAGGCAGCAGUGAGGAAUCUUGCGCAAUGGGGGCAACCCUGACGCAGCAACGCCGCGUGAGUGAGGAAGGUCUUCGGAUCGUAAAGCUCUGUCGGAUGGAAAGAACCGCAUAGGGGUAAACAGCCCCUGUGUCUGACGGUACCAUCAAAGGAAGCACCGGCUAACUCCGUGCCAGCCGCCGCGGUAAAAC